rnacentral:lncRNA from 10 species
GCCUGGGGUAGGGCCAGGAUAAGCGUCGUUGGGGCAGGUGCUGGGUAGAGUCCAGGUUGGCGGGUCCUGGGGCGGGGUCAGCAUAGGGCGAUCCUGGAAGCUGGUCUUCGGAAGCGUCCAGGCCAGAGUGCAGUUGACGCAGGGCAGGGGAGCCCCGAAGUGGAGCAUAGUGUGUCCGGAACUGGUGGGUUCUUGGUCUCCCUG